CCUACGGGAGGCAGCAGUGGGGAAUAUUGCACAAUGGGCGCAAGCCUGAUGCAGCGACGCCGCGUGGGGGAUGAAGGCCUUCGGGUUGUAAACCCCUUUCAGCAGGGAAGAAGCGAAAGUGACGGUACCUGCAGAAGAAGCGCCGGCUAACUACGUGCCAGCAGCCGCGGUAAUACGUAGGGCGCAAGCGUUGUCCGGAAUUAUUGGGCGUAAAGAGCUCGUAGGCGGUUUGUCGCGUCUGCUGUGAAAGUCCGAGGCUCAACCUCGGAUCUGCAGUGGGUACGGGCAGACUAGAGUGUGGUAGGGGAGACUGGAAUUCCUGGUGUAGCGGUGGAAUGCGCAGAUAUCAGGAGGAACACCAAUGGCGAAGGCAGGUCUCUGGGCCACAACUGACGCUGAGGAGCGAAAGCAUGGGGAGCGAACAGGAUUAGAUACCCUGGUAGUCCAUGCCGUAAACGGUGGGCACUAGAUGUGGGGCUCUUUCCAUGUAGUCCGUCGUCGCAGCUACGCAUAAGUCGCCCGCCGUCGGGAGGUACGGCCGCGACGGACGUAAACCGUACGAAGAAGUUAGACGGCGUGAGACGUAGACCGACGGACGACGACGAGGGAGGAGG
rnacentral:rRNA from 1 species